rnacentral:rRNA from 1 species
CUACGGGCCGCUGCAGUGGGGAAUAUUGCACAAUGGGCGCAAGCCUGAUGCAGCCAUGCCGCGUGUAUGAAGAAGGCCUUCGGGUUGUAAAGUACUUUCAGCGGGGAGGAAGGGAGUAAAGUUAAUACCUUUGCUCAUUGACGUUACCCGCAGAAGAAGCACCGGCUAAGUCCGUGCCAGCAGCCGCGGUAAUACGGAGGGUGCAAGCGUUAAUCGGAAUUACUGGGCGUAAAGCGCACGCAGGCGGUUUGUUAAGUCAGAUGUGAAAUCCCCGGGCUCAACCUGGGAACUGCAUCUGAUACUGGCAAGCUUGAGCCUCGUAGAGGGGGGUAGAAUUCCAGGUGUAGCGGUGAAAUGCGUAGAGAUCUGGAGGAAUACCGGUGGCGAAGGCGGCCCCCUGGACGAAGACUGACGCUCAGGUGCGAAAGCGUGGGGAGCAAACAGGAUUAGAUACCCGCGUAGUC